rnacentral:rRNA from 1 species
CCUACGGGCGGCAGCAGUGAGGAAUAUUGGUCAAUGGGCGCGAGCCUGAACCAGCCAAGUAGCGUGAAGGAUGACGGCCCUAUGGGUUGUAAACUGCUUUUAUAAAGGAAUAAAGUGAGGCACGUGUGCCUUUUUGUAUGUACUUUAUGAAUAAGGAUCGGCUAACUCCGUGCCAGCAGCCGCGGUAAUACGGAGGGUCCGAGCGUUAUCCGGAUUUAUUGGGUUUAAAGGGAGCGUAGAUGGGGUGUUAAGUCAGUUGUGAAAGUGUGCGGCUCAACCGUAGAAUUGCAAUGGAGACUGGCAUGCUUGAGUACAGGUGAGGUAGGCGGAAUUCGUGGUGUAGCGGUGAAAUGCUUAGAUAUCACGAAGAACUCCGAUUGCGAAGGCAGCUUACUAAACUGCCACUGACGUUGAUGCUCGAAAGUGUGGGUAUCAAACAGGAUUAGAUACCCUUGUAGUC